GUGUCAUAAUUUGAAGGUGUUAUCAAUCGCUUCAGUGGCUCCCCUAGGUGCUGGCAUCACACUGCUUGUUUUGAACUUUUGCUUAGUUAUUGCCCAUUUCUGGGUGCCCAUCUCCAACAUGUAUAUUAGAGUGAAAAGCCUUAUGAGGAAUUCCCCAUUAUACUCAUUCCCUACUUUCUAUGUUGGCUCAUUUAUUUUCAAAGUACCCUGACAAGAAUGCUCCACAAUUCACAAGCUACGCCAUUCACGGCCCUCAAUGAAGUCACUGGUCCACGGGUCCUCACUCUGUUCUCUCUCUCCCUGCAUUUGUGUGUGCCUCUGGGUAUGGUGUGCCUCCCUCUCUAGGACCUGAGAGACUUUGCUGAAAAUAGACCUACAUAAAUAGGAAUGUGGGAAAUCUACAUAUGUAGGAGCAGAAGAAAAACCACAAUAGCCACCUGGAAAAAAUCAAUCUAUAAAAAUCAGAUGUAUGAAGAAAAUUAAAAGCUUGAAAUAUAAAAACCAAGAUAGGCAAAGAUUAGAACUGACUCUGGAGGAAAGCAACACUUAUCAAGAAAAUACAAGAUAAUUUAAAAAUAAUGUCACCAACACUAACAAUAGCAAAUAGCUCACUAAUAAAGUCCCUAUUUUUAAAAAGU